rnacentral:rRNA from 1 species
GUCUGACCUGCCCACUGAAUUUUUUUUUAAAUGGCCGCAGUAUAUUAACUGUGCAAAGGUAGCAUAAUCAUUAGUCUUUUAAUUGAAGGCUGGAAUGAAUGGUUGGACGAAAUAUUAACUGUUUCAUUUAAAUUUAUAAUAGAAUUUUAUUUUUUAGUCAAAAAGCUAAAAUAAUUUUAAAAGACGAGAAGACCCUAUGAAUCUUUAUAUAUGUUAUAUUUUAAUUUUGUAGAUUAAUUUAAUUAUAAUAUUGAUUAUAUAUUUUAUUGGGGUGAUAUUAAAAUUUAAAUAACUUUUAAAAUUUAAAUCAUUGAUUUAUGAAUAAAUGAUCCAUUUUUAAUGAUUAAAAAUUUAAGUUACUCUAGGGAUAACAGCGUAAUUUUUUUGGAGAGUUCAUAUCGAUAAAAAAGAUUGCGACCUCGAUGUUGGAUUAAGAAAUAAUUUUAGGUGUAGCCGUUUAAAUUUAAAGUCUGUUCGACUUUUAAAAUCUUACAUGAUCUGAGUUCAAACC